rnacentral:rRNA from 1 species
UACGGAGGGUGCAAGCGUUAUCCGGAUUCACUGGGUUUAAAGGGUGCGUAGGUGGGCAGGUAAGUCAGUGGUGAAAUCUCCGGGCUUAACCCGGAAACUGCCAUUGAUACUAUCUGUCUUGAAUACCGUGGAGGUGAGCGGAAUAUGUCAUGUAGCGGUGAAAUGCUUAGAUAUGACAUAGAACACCAAUUGCGAAGGCAGCUGGCUACACAAAUAUUGACACUGAGGCACGAAAGCGUGGGGAUCAAACAGG